AACGAACGCUGGCGGCAGGCCUAACACAUGCAAGUCGAACGCCGUAGCAAUACGGAGUGGCAGACGGGUGAGUAACGCGUGGGAACAUACCCCUCGGUUCGGAAUAACUUAGGGAAACUUGAGCUAAUACCGGAUACGUCCGAGGUUUUAACCGGCCUCGGAGAAAGAUUUAUCGCCGGAGGAUUGGCCCGCGUCUGAUUAGCUUAUUGGUGAGGUAAUGGCUCACCAAGGCGACGAUCAGUAGCNGGUCUGAGAGGAUGAUCAGCCACAUUGGGACUGAGACACGGCCCAAACUCCUACGGGAGGCAGCAGUGGGGAAUAUUGGACAAUGGGCGAAAGCCUGAUCCAGCCAUGCCGCGUGAGUGAUGAAGGCCUUAGGGUUGU
rnacentral:rRNA from 1 species